rnacentral:rRNA from 1 species
CGCGUGAGUAACCUGCCUUGGAGUGGGGAAUAACACAUCGAAAGAUGUGCUAAUACCGCAUAAUGCAGUUGGGCCGCAUGGCUCUGACUGCCAAAGAUUUAUCGCUCUGAGAUGGACUCGCGUCUGAUUAGCUGGUUGGCGGGGUAACGGCCCACCAAGGCGACGAUCAGUAGCCGGACUGAGAGGGCGGACGGCCACAUUGGGACUGAGACACGGCCCAAACUCCUACGGAAGGCAGCAG